UCCUCACCAAAAAUCCACCACAGCUUUCAGAAAGAUGAAAGUACCGGAAUAUAAAAUUUAGAUGCAUUUUAUUAAUGCUGUCUUGUAGUUAAACAGGCGACGUUCCGUCAGUGUUUCCGAACCCUGAUCUCUUUUCCGUAAUUGCCUCCGGCGUUUGCAUGUACGUAGUUGAAACGCGGACGUUGGUUGGUAGAUAUCUGCUUCUUGACAUUUCCUGUCUGGUUAAGGUGAUUUCCUGUGCCUUGCUGGUCCGCCAUUUUAAUUACAGUUCCUGGGGGGG